GACGAACGCUGGCGGCGUGCUUAACACAUGCAAGUCGAACCCAAAGGCCCUGCUUUUGUGGGGUGCUCGAGUGGCGAACGGGUGAGUAACACGUGAGUAACCUGCCCUUGACUUUGGGAUAACUUCAGGAAACUGGGGCUAAUACCGGAUAGGAGCUCCUGCUGCAUGGUGGGGGUUGGAAAGUUUCGGCGGUUGGGGAUGGACUCGCGGCUUAUCAGCUUGUUGGUGGGGUAGUGGCUUACCAAGGCUUUGACGGGUAGCCGGCCUGAGAGGGUGACCGGCCACAUUGGGACUGAGAUACGGCCCAGACUCCUACGGGAGGCAGCAGUGGGGAAUAUUGCACAAUGGGCGGAAGCCUGAUGCAGCAACGCCGCGUGCGGGAUGACGGCCUUCGGGUUGUAAACCGCUUUCGCCUGUGACGAAGCGUGAGUGACGGUAAUGGGUAAAGAAGCACCGGCUAACUACGUG
rnacentral:rRNA from 1 species